rnacentral:tRNA from 1 species
GUCCAGGUUGGCCGAGUGGUCUAAGGCGCCAGAUUUAAGCUCUGGUUCCCGAGAGGGAGCGUGGGUUCGAACCCCACACCUGACA